GAUGAACGCUGGCGGCGUGCUUAACACAUGCAAGUCGAACGAAACACCUUAUUUCAUUUUCUUCGGAACUGACGGUUUGGCGAUUGAGUGACGCACGGGUGAGUAACGUGUGGGUAACCUGCCCUUUACAGGGGGAUAACAGUCAGAAAGGACUGCUAAUACCGCAUAAGACUACAGCACGGCAUGGUGCAUUGCUAAAAAUUAGGGUGGUACAGGAGGGACCGGCGCCUGUUUAGCUGGUAGGUGCGGUAACGGCACACCAUGGCGACGUUCAGUAGCCGGCAAGAGAGAGUGAACGGACACAUUGGGACUGGGACGCGGCCCAAACUCCUACGGGAGGCGGCAGUGGGGAAUAUUGCACAAUGGGGGAAGCCCUGAUGCAGCGACGACGCGUGAGUUAAGAAAUAAUGCGGUAUGUAAAGCUCAAUCAGCAGGGAAGAAAAUGACGGUACCUGACUAAGAAGCCCCGGCUAACUACGUG
rnacentral:rRNA from 1 species